rnacentral:rRNA from 1 species
AGUGAACGCUGGCGGUAGGCCUAACACAUGCAAGUCGAACGGCAGCACAGUAAGAGCUUGCUCUUACGGGUGGCGAGUGGCGGACGGGUGAGGAAUACAUCGGAAUCUACUCUUUCGUGGGGGAUAACGUAGGGAAACUUACGCUAAUACCGCAUACGACCUACGGGUGAAAGCAGGGGAUCUUCUGACCUUGCGCGAUUGAAUGAGCCGAUGUCGGAUUAGCUGGUUGGCGGGGUAAAGGCCCACCAAGGCGACGAUCCGUAGCUGGUCUGAGAGGAUGGUCGGCGGCACUGGAACUGGGACACGGUCCAGAGUCCUACGGGAGGCAGCAGUGGGGAAUAUUGGACAAUGGGCGCAAGCCUGAUCCAACCAUAGCGCGUGGGUGACGAAGGCCUUCGGGUUGUAAAGCCCUUUUGUUGGGAGAGAAAAGCAGCAGGUUAAUACGCCGCUGUUCUGACGGUACCCAAAGAAUAAGCACCGGCUAACUUCGUG